UUGACACAGUUGAAUAAAGCUGCAGUCCCCCCAUAACAUGCAUUGGCAGAGUCAACGCCUUCAAUGUCAGUGUUUCCGAAUUUCUCGAAAAUUUGCAUCAAGAAGGUCUUAAUAGAUUUGCUCUUGUCGAUCACAGUCUCACUGCCAACUUCCAGACGACCGAUUUGUUUAGGAUCAAUAUUAUACUUGUCGAGGAGUGAAGUAACUGCAGUCAAACUCAUUGAGAUGACAUCUUCCACCUCAGUACAAAAUGCC
rnacentral:misc_RNA from 1 species